GAUGUGGAGGGAGCGGAGGCUGCGCGGCGGAGAGUAGAGAGCUAGAGGGUGAGAAGCGCUGGGCCGGACCAGAACUGUCUUAGCUUUUCCCUCUGCGGCUGCUCUGGUUGGUUACUUUGAGCCUGCCUCCUCAGCGCCGCAGGAGAGACUUAACAGCAAAAAUGACUGUGUCCUGAGUUCAGCCCCCACUGCUCUGGGAGCUUCCCCCUGGUUUCUGCACCUGAAGAAUGUCAUCCCAGCCGAAGGUUCUUAGGAGCGGGGAGCGACAAAGAAAAACAAAGAAAAGCAGACCUGAAAAUUGGGACCUGGGAGAAAUGUAAGACAUGUGCUUAAUUUGAGGCACAGACCAAAAGAAGCUGAGUCUGAGGGCCCUCUAAAAGUGUCCUCGUGCUUGGGCAGCUUACAUUCUUGGCGGCAGUAGUGUUAUGAAGAGGACCUUCGGAGCCAGGUCUGUCCAUUCUUAGGGCUCCAGCCACUGGCUGAGGCAUCAAGACGAGUGCUCUAAACCAGUAUCAUGGCUCCAGUUCCUCUGACAAGGAUUCACAUGGGGUUGCAAUUCUGACUGUGCUGGUGAUGCUGGUUCCAGGUCCCUCAGGAACCCCUCCCCCAGUCUGGUCUGCCCUUGAACUCUAUACUGGCCCCAGGGUAUCCCAGGAUUGUCAGAAAGGCCUGGCCAGGAUUCACCUGGGAGAGGGAUCAGCAUCUCUGCAAAGUUGUUGGAUUGAAAGAACUUUCAUUUUGAGCUACAUCAUUGAAGAGCUUUAAAUCUGAAAAUAAGAAAGACGUUGAACCCUAUUACUCACAUCUCUUUGUCAUUUGAAGCAGAUCCCGAACCACUCAAAAGGACAAAACAAGGAAAUAGCAAUGAAAUUGGAUUCAGUGAAUGGGGUAAGGGUAUUAAGUGUCUGAAAUAUAAGAGAUAAAAAAAUUAGUUUUUACCUUUUUUUCUAUUUUCUAAAUGUUUUGGUGGCUAGAAUAAGAUAUACUUUGAACUCAAGAGCAAUAAAUGUUAAUAUAUUAAAAGUAGCUUUAUGAAAUAUGGAAAGUAUCUUUAUUUCAAAAUACUUCAAAGUAAUCAUCUGAAUAUUUAUCAGAAAUAUUAAGACAACUUAUUAAAUCCUGUAUUAAAAUGAUUGCUUAUU
rnacentral:lncRNA from 1 species